AUGGAGACAUCUGCUAAUGAUGGCAGCACUUUAUGUAACCAACCUGCAAGCCUAUGCAAUGAUGAGGGUACUGUGGGAGAAAGGGAGUGGCCUUCUCAAAUGAAUAUCGCAAGUGCCCAGCCAGAAGAAAGAACGCCCGAAAUUGGUACAUCAACAAUCGCAGGUGGUUUGUUUCCUAUGCACGGAGAUGGAGGCAUGUCUUCACAGCCUGCAGCCGGAAAUGAAGACAAGGCAAGUGAGGACGUGCAAGAAGACAAUGCUUCUCUGCAGGUGACGGUGCCUGAUGCCAUACCGACGGUUUCGCAACCCUCGCGUGCCAUGGAACAUCAGCUGGCCAUUGCUAGCCUGAGGUGGGAACCAGACGAUCUGGACGAGAUGCAACCAGGCCCUUCUAGCAUUGCGAGCCCACCUCCAUAA
rnacentral:rRNA from 1 species